rnacentral:tRNA from 1 species
GGCCGGUUGGCCCAAUGGCAAGGCGUCUGACUACGAUUCAGUCGUGCAAUCAGGAGAUUCUGGGUUCGACCCCCAGGCUGGUCA